CGAGAUAAUAAACUAGUUAUUUAACUAUGCUAGUAGCCUUGUGAUACAAGAUCAAACUUGUCACAUGUCUUUAAGUAAUACUAAAAGAACACACAAAAUUCAAAUGAAAAGUCGCUAAGGUUGACUGUUUUGAAGGAAAGGGUGUGAGAUAGUGAUAGUAGCAACCUGCCUGGGCUUGCUAUUUUUUCUGCCUCACUAAAUAGCUUGUUUCUGCAAUAAAACAAAGCAAACACAAAAAAAAAAGAGAUUAAAUAAAGCAACAAAGCAAACACAACUACUAUAUCAAACUAAUGAAAACAAAUGUAACGGUUCGUUUGAAAUUUUCCAAUUCGUUUAGACCAUAACGAAUUGGAAUAUGAAUGAAAACAAAUCUCAAACAAAUGUUUAGACCAUAAAUGUAAUGGUAAGUUGGUAAUAACCUGCAAUUUAUUACUCCCUAGCUUUCUCUUAAUUAAUCAUUCAGUUGAUGCUGGAACUAGUUAAAUGAAAAUAAAUGAACUAAUUUCAGCCCCCGCUUAAAUAAAUUUUUUUUUUCUGCGAGGGAUGCAAUGAGCUUCAGGUUUCAACUACUUAUGAUUGUGUCUACUCUGACAUAAAGUUCAGGCUACCAAAUAUAAGCAAACAAAGCUCUUGCAAGUCAGUGGUAGUAAGAAUGCAUUAUUACCAAUAAAAAUUCAUUAGCUUUUCAAAAUUGAAAUAAUAAAAAAGAAAAAGAAGGUGACAACAAAGACAUAAAAGGAAGGUCCAUGAGACUCUGACAAUUGAUUUAUAAUAUGAUUCAUCCUUAGCAAAUUAUAAGGCAACUGAAUGACUAGGUUAACAAGAAAAUAAGCGAAAUUAGGAAUCCAUAGCUCUUUCCACACAAAGAGCUUAAUCAAGACUUAAGGCAUCAUGUAUUAAUGCAUGAAUGAUGUGUACUGGCACCAACCUGCUAGAAUAUAAUAUUAAAACAAACUAUAAUCAGAUAUGCCAGGAUCUUUACACCAGACCAAGUUUUAUCUACUCUCUGCUACAUAUAUGUGCUUUGAACCAUCAUUACAGUAACAUGUUUGUAUUGGAUUUUUAGACAACUCAUUUCAGAAUGGCUAGAAUAAUCUAAUAAUAAUUUCAAUGAAAUACCCUUGAGUAGGUGUCUUUUUUUAUCAUAAAGAGGAUCACAGUUCAUAAAUAAAUAAACUUACAGUUAAAUAAGCAAACAUCAUAUUCCAAUUCGUUUGAGAUUUUCCAUUCAUUGUUACUGGUUCGUCAUAGCUUAAACACUGACAAUUUCGAUGGCCUUAAACUCAUUUUCUCAACCUCAUUUUGUGUUGAUACCAUUUAUGUGCCAGGACACCUUCAAGCCAUAAAUAUGGCAACAUUAACAGAACACCAUUAACAGCAAAAAUAAAAAACACAACCAUUAACAGCAUUAACAACAAAAUCAAAAUCAGAACACCAUUAACAGCAUUAACAGCAAAAUCAAAAUCAGAACACCAUUAACAGUAAAAAUCAAAAUCACAACCAACAUCAAAAAGCAAAAAAGGGAGAAAACGUUAAAAAAUUAGGAAACCGUUAACAGAUAACUCACCUUUGAAGACGUUGAAGGCUAGAUUCGCUGGAAGCACCGUUAGAGCGGAGGUGGAGUCGUGGAGGACCAGUCACCGGAGGUGGAAUGGUGGGUCGGGCGAGGUGGGUUUUCGAUUUGGGGGAAAAAAAGGGAAGGGAAUUUAGGGAUUUGUCUCUGAAGAAAAAAAAAAGGAAGGGAAGGGUGUCG
rnacentral:lncRNA from 1 species